ACGAACGCUGGCGGCAGGCCUAACACAUGCAAGUCGAGCGCUACCUUCGGGUGGAGCGGCGGACGGGUUAGUAACGCGUGGGAAUAUACCCAGUUCUAAGGAAUAGCCACUGGAAACGGUGAGUAAUACCUUAUACCUCCUUCGGGAGAAAGAAGGCCUCUCUUUGAAGCUUUCGCUACUAGAUGAGCCUGCGUAAGAUUAGCUUGUUGGUGAGGUAAAGGCUCACCAAGGCGACGAUCUUUAGCUGGUCUGAGAGGACGAUCAGCCACAUUGGGACUGAGACACGGCCCAGACUCCUACGGGAGGCAGCAGUGGGGAAUAUUGG
rnacentral:rRNA from 1 species